CAUGGGGGCCCGUCCUAAGAUAUAUUUCUGGGAUCACUAACUGAAGUGGAGAUGAUUUGAUUAAGUCAAGCACACUGUGUGUCCCAGCAUAGUCAAGCUGUGAAAAGAGUGAGUUCUGAGAUAAUGAGUCGAUGGGCUGAUUUGCAUAUCCUCCUUUAGGUCUAGGUGAAGAUGGUAAGGAGGAAAGGUGUAACAUGGGGGCCCGUCCUAAGAUAUAUUUCUGGGAUCACUAACUGAAGUGGAGAUGAUUUGAUUAAGUCAAGCACACUGUGUGUCCCAGCAUAGUCAAGCUGUGAAAAGAGUGAGUUCUGAGAUAAUGAGUCGAUGGGCUGAUUUGCAUAUCCUCCUUUAGGUCUAGG